AUGCUCCCUUUGGCAACAUGUAUACUAAAAUUGGAAUGAUAUGGAGAAGAUUAUAUGGCCCCUGUGCAAGGGUAACAUGCAAAUUCAUGAACUGUUCCAUUGUUUU